rnacentral:rRNA from 1 species
GGCGUGCUAAUACAUGCAAGUCGAGCGAACAGACGAGGAGCUUGCUCCUUUGACGUUAGCGGCGGACGGGUGAGUAACACGUGGGUAACCUACCUAUAAGACUGGGAUAACUUCGGGAAACCGGAGCUAAUACCGGAUAAUAUUUCGAACCGCAUGGUUCGAUAGUGAAAGAUGGCUCUGCUAUCACUUAUAGAUGGACCUGCGCCGUAUUAGCUAGUUGGUAAGGUAACGGCUUACCAAGGCAACGAUACGUAGCCGACCUGAGAGGGUGAUCGGCCACACUGGAACUGAGACACGGUCCAGACUCCUACGGGAGGCAGCAGUAGGGAAUCUUCCGCAAUGGGCGAAAGCCUGACGGAGCAACGCCGCGUGAGUGAUGAAGGUCUUCGGAUCGUAAAACUCUGUUAUUAGGGAAGAACAAACGUGUAAGUAACUGUGCACGUCUUGACGGUACCUAAUCAGAAAGCCACGGCUAACUACGUGCCAGCAGCCGCGGUAAUACGUAGGUGGCAAGCGUUAUCCGGAAUUAUUGGGCGUAAAGCGCGCGUAGGCGGUUUUUUAAGUCUGAUGUGAAAGCCCACGGCUCAACCGUGGAGGGUCAUUGGAAACUGGAAAACUUGAGUGCAGAAGAGGAAAGUGGAAUUCCAUGUGUAGCGGUGAAAUGCGCAGAGAUAUGGAGGAACACCAGUGGCGAAGGCGACUUUCUGGUCUGUAACUGACGCUGAUGUGCGAAAGCGUGGGGAUCAAACAGGAUUAGAUACCCUGGUAGUCCACGCCGUAAACGAUGAGUGCUAAGUGUUAGGGGGUUUCCGCCCCUUAGUGCUGCAGCUAACGCAUUAAGCACUC